rnacentral:lncRNA from 1 species
CUAUUUCUUAGGAUUUUGUUUAUUCUUCCACUCUAAAUCAUAUAUCACCAACACCUUCCAUGAAACAAUCUCCAGAACACACUCCAUCACCUGAUCAUAACAUGGUUCAACAUUCAGAACAUGUGAUGGAUACCCCUAACCCUACACCACUCAUUCAGAUAUUAGAUAAUGCAUUGAAUCCAGUUUAUUCUAAACAUCUAACUGGUGAAACCACUGAUGAUCAGAAACAACUAGCAUACACAUUUGAGUAUGAACAACCUAAACCUAUAAACACCAUGUUUG